rnacentral:lncRNA from 1 species
AGUAAAUGAGUAAGUGCCGAUUGAAUGAACCAGUGCAGAGUGACAAGCUCUACUUUCAAAACAGACAUCUCAAGAAGCUGAUCAUGCUGGCAGUUUUGAGCUGGUGUGUGUCACCAACUAGGUGUGGCCUCUUAAGCUGGAAACCAUGAGCUGGGAGAGCGAGACAGGAUUCCAGCAUUCUCACAGAACCCGGA